GACGAACGCUGGCGGCGUGCUUAACACAUGCAAGUCAAGGGGGCCCAGCAAUGGGCAACCGGCGAACGGGUGCGUAACACGUGAGCAACCUACCGAACUGUGGGGGAUAGCCGGCCUAACGGCCGAGUAAUACCGCAUACGCUCUCAGAGAGGCAUUUCUUUGAGAGGAAACCUACGGGACAGAUCGAGGGGCUCGCGGCCUAUCAGCUAGUUGGCGAGGUAACGGCUCACCAAGGCAACGACGGGUAGCUGGUCUGAGAGGAUGGCCAGCCACAUUGGGACUGAGAUACGGCCCAGACUCCUACGGGAGGCAGCAGUGGGGAAUCUUGCGCAAUGGCCUAACGGCUGACGCAGCGACGCCGCGUGUGGGAUGAAGCUCUUCGGAGUGUAAACCACUGUUGCCCGGGACGAACAGCUCGAUUAAUCGAGCCUGACGGUACCGGGUGAGGAAGCACCGGCUAACUCCGUGCCAGCAGCCGCGGUAAUACGGGGGGUGCGAGCGUUGUCCGGAAUCACUGGGCGUAAAGGGCGCGUAGGUGGUUUGAUAAAGGUGGUGGUGAAAAGUCCGGGGCUCAACCCCGGGAUCUGCCGUGCCGACUGUCAAACUCGAGGACUGUAGAGGCAGACGGAAUUCCGGGGUG
rnacentral:rRNA from 1 species